rnacentral:rRNA from 1 species
AGCCCCAAUAGCGUAUAUUAAAGUUGCUGCAGUUAAAAAGCUCGUAGUUGCAUUUCCGAGGCAAGGGAUUAGUCCGACCUUUGGUGGGUAUUUAAUCCUCUUGCCUCGUCCUUGAGUGGUGCUUCUUGGUAUUAAGUUAUCGAGGAGAUAGCCGCUCAUCGUUUACUGUGAGAAAAUUAGAGUGUUCAAAGCAGGCUUAUGCCGUUGAAUAUAUUAGCAUGGAAUAAUAAGAUAGGACCUCGGUACUAUUUUGUUGGUUUGAGAACCAAGGUAAUGAUGAAUAGGGACAGUUGGGAGUAUUCGUAUUCAGUUGUCAGAGGUGAAAUUCUUAGAUUUACGGAAGACGAACUACUGCGAAAGCAUUUACCAAGGAUGUUUUCA